UACGGGGGGGGCAAGCGUUGUUCGGAAUUACUGGGCGUAAAGGGCGCGUAGGCGGGAUGGCAAGUCGGUCGUGAAAUCCCUCGGCUCAACUGAGGAUCGUCGAUCGAUACUGCCGUUCUUGAGGAUUGCAGAGGAGACUGGAAUUCCCGGUGUAGCGGUGAAAUGUGUAGAGAUCGGGAGGAACACCGGUGGCGAAGGCGGCAUCCUGGACCAACAUUGACGCUGAGGAGCGAAAGCUAGGGGAGCAAACGGG
rnacentral:rRNA from 1 species